GAUGAACGCUAGCUACAGGCUUAACACAUGCAAGUCGAGGGGCAGCACAAGGCAGCAAUGCUGAGGUGGCGACCGGCGCACGGGUGCGUAACGCGUAUCCAACCUUCCCGUUACUCUUGGAUAGCCUUCCGAAAGGGAGAUUAAUACAAGAUGGUGUUGAAAUUCCGCAUGUUAUUUCAACUAAAGAUUUAUCGGUAACGGAUGGGGAUGCGUGACAUUAGAUAGAUGGCGGGGUAACGGCCCACCAUGUCCACGAUGUCUAGGGGUUCUGAGAGGACGGUCCCCCACACUGGAACUGAGACACGGUCCAGACUCCGACGGGAGGCAGCAGUGAGGAAUAUUGGUAAAUGGCCGGAAGGCUGAACCAGCCAAGUAGCGUGAAGGAUGAAGGUUCUAUGGAUUGUAAACUUCUUUUAUACGGGAAUAAAACCUCCCACGUGUGGGAGCUUGUAUGUACCGUAUGAAUAAGCAUCGGCUAACUCCGUGCCAGCCGCCGCCGUAACAC
rnacentral:rRNA from 1 species